rnacentral:rRNA from 1 species
GCUCCAAUAGCGUAUAUUAAAGUUGUUGCGGUUAAAAAGCUCGUAGUUGGAUUUCUGUUGAGGUCGGGCGGUGUACACCUCGUGUAUUAUUUGCUUCGGUUUCGGCAUCCUCUUGGGGAACGUCAGGACUUAUUGGACUGGGCGAGAUUCAAGACUUUUACUUUGAGGAAUUAGAGUGUUCACGGCAGGCAAGUGCUUUG